UAUCCCAUGUUUUAAAAUUAGUUUAUGAUUAUUAUAGAUCUAAUAUGUUGAUAUUAUUGUUGGCUUUAAUGGAAUAGUGAUAUGAUUAUGUGAAAAGUGUGAAUGUAAUUAUUUCUGUUAUUUGGAUUAAUAUGGAUUUUACAGAUUUUUCGUCCUCCUUCUUUCUUUGAUUCCGAGGACGGAAUCCCUAUAAGGAGGGUAGAUUGUAAUAACCCGGAUUUUUAAAAAUAUUUUUAUUAAUAUUAUAAAUGAUUUUAUUAAAAAGAAAGGAAUAAGAUUUAAUAUUUUAUUCCAGUUUAAUGAGUUUUCAAGGUUUUAUAUUUAAACCCCGGGUUAUUGUGUUAUUGAUAAAUGAUUAUAUUUUUAAAACUGAUUUUCAUAUUGUUUCGAAAAUUCUAGAUGAUUAUUAUGUGAAUAUAUGUGGUAUGUGACUAAGUGUUACUUGUGGUAUUGCUCGUUUAAUUAAUUAUGGUGAUUUAUGAUUAUUAUGUGAUUAUUAUAUAUUUUUGUGAAUUUUGUGUUAUCUAGUUUACUGAGCUGAAUGCUCGUAUGUGCUCGUAUUCGCGAGAUUUCAAUUUCUAUAUGCUCAGGAGAAAAUAUAGUUUAUUUGGAUAUUUUCAUAUCGAUUUAUGGAAUGUUAGAUGAUUUUAUAAUCGAUUUACGGAUUUAAUUGUGUAAAUGUAUAUUUAUUUAGUAAUUAUUUGACUUCCGUAAAACAGUCCACUCGUAACGGUGUAGCAAAUUUUCUUCCCGGAAGUUUCAACAAAACUGACCUUUAGCCUAAUUUGAAUAUUCCGGACACUUUUCGUGUUUUGACUUUUUCGAUCCGGAGUACGGUUUUCCCUGGAGUCGGUCCGGCGGAGUUUUUCGGGUAUUGUAAUUGUCGAUAAUUAUCCAGUUUGUCUCGAUAAACGUGAAAAGAGAUAUUUUCGUCAUCCUUAUCAUGUAAUAAUUGCCGUGGGACCCGCAGACCAAUAAUUGAGUUAAAAAGCCCCGUUUUGAUGAUUAUCUCGAAAACCAGUACCGAUUGGACCCCGCUUUAUUAAUAUAAAGCUAUUAAAUACGUAUUUUCAUGUCAUAAACGAUCCAAAGGGGUACCAAUUAUUUGUAAAUAUAAAUAGACCUUUCUAGAGCUUAUUUUCACCCGUAAAAUCAUUUCACCAGUUUCUCUGCACGAAUACCGAGAGAAACCGAGCGGUGUUCUUCGUGUUCUUCAUAAUCAAACGAAGAUUUGAAGGCGUUAUUGGAGUCAGAAUCAAGCGUGCGAAUAGUCAAAUCGAAGAUAUCGAAGAGUAGAACUCUAAUCAAUCAUCAAAAACAACCUGAGAUUCACAGGAUUUGGACGAGACGUGUACGCUCGAAGACGUCAGGAAGUCGAAAUGGUAUUGCAAAGCGAAUAAGGGAUGAAUCGAGUAAGCGAAGCGAAGAUGUACGGUAGAUAGAGUAUAGCCAGAGAUGGUCUAGAGACUAUGAGAUGCAUAGAUUGUGAAAGUGGAAAGAUGAGAUUGAGAUGUGAGACUGGAGUCAGAUUUAAGGCAAGUAUCCUGCACCCUGCUUUUGGAUAUAUUGCAAAUAUUCUGAUUCAUUCUUUUGAUGUGUUGCAAGUAUCCUGCACCCUGCUUUUGGAUAUAUUGCAAAUAUUCUGAUCCAUUCUUUUGAUGUGCUGCAAGUAUCCUAAACCUUUCUCGUGGAUAUAUUGCAAAUAUUCUGAUCCAUUCCUUUGGUCUAUGUUUCAAGUAUUCAUACCUUUCUUUUCAAUGUUCCGAAAUGCGAGUAUUCUGACCCAUUCUUUCUAAUCUUCAAGUUUCUAAAGAAUUUCCGUUUUACAAAUUAAUUCGAAGUUCAGAUUGUCAUUGAAGCAUGUGUUGCUCAGUGAUAGUUAGAGCUUUGAAUGAAUUGGGAUCUUCUUGAUUAUUCAACCCGCCAUUGUCAUGCUGGUUUAGCAGGCUAAAUUCAGUUGCUUAGCCGAUAAUGGAGGAUACUGAAUAGUUGAGGAUUUCCUGAACUGUGAUUUAUGAAAUGAUGGAUCAUGAUUUAUGAAUAGAUUAUUAUCAAAGUUUGAUUUGAAAUUAUUCCGUUGUUGAAGAUAUUUAUGAUGAUGUUGUGUUGAUUUACAUUGACUUCUUGAAUUGAAUUAGAGAAUUGGAUUAUUGUUUUUAUAUAAACCUGUGGACCAGAUUCGUGGUCAUGUUAGGCCAAUGAGUGCCUUGGAUCCAGUGAUAGAGCAUGGCGGGGCCUGCUCGGGGUUAGUGCGGAACUGAUCAGCUGCCUAACCUUGGUUUUUUUAAUUAAAAUGUGAUAGUCCAAUUCAAUAAUUCUCUUGUGAAGGAUUGAAUUCCUCAGGUUUCUAUUGCUGCAAGGUAUUGUGAUUCUUUUAUACAAUACCUGAAUUUGUGAACUCAAGUUGAAUCUUUUUAUAUCUUGAACUCAAGAAUUUCUGUUAUAUCACUUCAGAACUUUCAUUGUUUAUUAUUACUUGCUGAGCAUUGUUGCUCACCCUUGCUAUUCCUUUCUAACCAUUUCAGAAAGGCUAAAAGAUGAGAUGAUUGAUUGAGAUUGUGAAUAAGGCAAAUGCUAGGCGAGGAGACAGAGUUGAGGAUCCAGUGGUCGAGGAGUGUUCAGGAAAGUUGAUGUGGUUGGUGCAAGCUAGAGCUGUGCUAUAGGGAUUCAAGUGUAAGUCAUAGCUGGAAUAGUUGACAGUGAUUCUUCUUAUCGAAGAUGAUCUGAUUUGGUAAGAAAUGUUGUGUAAUAUUAGUGGUGGAUUCUAAUUUCAAUACUGUAACCUGGAUGCGAUCCUGUUGUUUUAGGGGGUGAAAAUGUUCUCAUUCAAAUCUUUUAUUAAAUGUUUUCAAGUUUUAAA